GACGAACGCUGGCGGCGUGCUUAACACAUGCAAGUCGAGCGGUAAGGCUCCUUCGGGAGUACACGAGCGGCGAACGGGUGAGUAACACGUGAGCAAUCUGCCCUUCUCUUCGGAAUAACCAUUGGAAACGAUGGCUAAUGCCGAAUAUGACCUCGGAUCACAUGUUCUGAGGUGGAAAGCUCCGGCGGAGAAGGAUGAGCUCGCGGCCUAUCAGCUGUUGGUGAGGUAAUGGCUCACCAAGGCAUUGACGGGUAGCCGGCCUGAGAGGGUGACCGGCCACACUGGGACUGAGACACGGCCCAGACUCCUACGGGAGGCAGCAGUGGGGAAUAUUGGACAAUGGGCGAAAGCCUGAUCCAGCAACGCCGCGUGAGGGAUGACGGCC
rnacentral:rRNA from 1 species